CCAGUCCCUCUGAAGGAGGAUUGGAGGAAUCACUGGUCAUAGAUCUCUACCAGGAAGUGGCAGCAUCUCUCCUAGCAUCCAGCCUUCCUCCCAGCCAAAGGGUGUUACCGACUCUAGUGUGGAAACCAGCACCGGGUCUGGUAAGAGAUUACCCAGCGCAAGGCAGACUGCACUCUGGAUCUCCUGCGGAAGCUGUGUUUUUGCAUAAAGAGGAAAUGAAAUGCGGCGGGAUCCCUGGGUCUUUUAGCUUUUCUCCUCUCCAGAGACUCCCCAGCAGCAAGAGGAGCCGCUCCUUGUCCACUGAGCUGAGGAUCCAGCCUCAGCCUGGUCUGUCCUCUGCAGCCAGCUGCUAGCAGAGUCCCGGGGUGUGUGUGUGUGUGUGUAAAAGCCCGAGAGGAACACAGUCCUCUGUCCAAGGGCUUUGUAGAGGAAGGACCUGAGAGCAGGACAGAAACAAACACACAUCACUGUACCCUGCGUUUUAGUCAGGACCAAUGGUCAGACAAACUGGAUGUAUCUUUGAAGGAAGGACAAAGGCAACAUCAAGUCGCUGACCCCAUUGCUGUCCCCCUUUGAAAACCACAGAAAUAACCCCACAUCUCUCAGAGGAAAAGUUGCUAUCUGGCCCCUUCUGUUCUUCCAGCCUCCUCUGUCCCUGUCACCCCUGCAUCCUUCUCUGGCAUCCAUGCCCAGGUCUUCCCUGGGCCAGCCGUGCCAGGCCUGCUGUCCCUCUGCACUGAGCCCCACCAGAACCCCCCUGCCUCCUCUCCCAGCCCUCGGGAGAGGACCCACCCCUGGGCCCUGCGAAGGUGGUGGCUCCUCCUCCAACACCCGCACUCAGUGUGGUUGGCACAUCCUUUUGCAGUGCUGUGUGUUUGCCUUCUCACCCCCAAUCCAGAGCUUCCUAAGUGCAGUAGCCAAACCCUGCUCCUUUCCCCAGCCUAGGACGAUACACAGUUUCUGAUCAUAUUUCUUGACUAUUUGAUCAAAGGGUGUUUUCCUUUAAGACAACGUUUCUUAAACUUUUAAAAAUACAAUAAAAAAUAUAUUUUACAUUAUCACUUAGUCCACACACACGUAGCUACAACAAAGUCAUCAAAUAAUACUUAUUAUGUUGGAUGCACUGAUAUUUUCUGUUUUCUUUAAGUGCUUGUUGGGACGUGUAGGGGGAAAGCUGGGGUCCUUGAGUGUAGGGAGCAACAGUCGGUUGCCAAAGUGACAAAAGUUUGCUUCCAAGCCGGAUGGGAUUAGGAUUAAGCUGGAAGCAUUACCCUGCUUUGCAGAGUAAUGAGCCUGGCCUCAUUACAAGACGUGGCUGGAGCGGGUGGUGGGGACUGUGGGGACCUUGGCAGCUCUCGGGUUCCAAGCCUUCUAUGUUUCCUUCAUUCCUUUGACACACCCACCUCCUCCCCACAGAGACCCAGCCCCAGCUCUGCCUGCUGCCUCAGCCAUCUUUUCUGUGCUUGCCUCUGUGAUUGCUCUUACCACACUGCACCCUGGCGCCCUUCUCCUCUGGGUGCUGGUUGCUCUGCUGAGCACCCCCCCCCCAAGGAGCUGGGCCUGGGAAAGCCUGGCAGUCAAGAGCUACCUGUGGAGGAGAGUUGAACUGCUGUCCCGGGGGUCUGCAGGGGCCCUUCUAUUCUUUGCAGCAGGAUGGAGCCACCCUCGGCCGCGCGGCAGCAACCAGAAUUAACAGCAAGUUCGCAAAAUCCUUUAGCCUUUCAUUCUUAAGGAAACCUCACAGUGGAGGAAAUAAAGAGAAUAAACUUGG